UGGCGGCGUGCAUACACAUGCAAGUCGAACGAUGAAACUCAUUAGAUUUCUUCGGAAUGAAAAUGAAUGGAUUAGUGGCGAACGGGUGAGUAACGCGUGAGUAACCUGCCUUACACAAGGGGAUAGCCUCUGGAAACGGAGAAUAAUACCCUAUGAAACCAGACGAUCGCAUGAUAAUCUGGUCAAAAUGUUUAGUGGUGUAAGAUGGACUUGCGUCUGAUUAGCUAGUUGGUGAGAUAACAGCUCACCAAGGCAACGAUCAGUAGCCGGCUUGAGAGAGUGUACGGCCACAUUGGGACUGAGACACGGCCCAGACUCCUACGGGAGGCAGCAGUGGGGAAUUUUGCACAAUGGGGGGAACCCUGAUGCAGCGACGCCGCGUGAUUUAGAAGGCCUUCGGGUUGUAAAAAUCUUUUGUAUAGGAAGAAAAUGACAGUACUAUACGAAUAAGGUCCGGCUAAUUACGUGCCAGCAGCCGCGGUAAU
rnacentral:rRNA from 1 species